rnacentral:misc_RNA from 1 species
UGGGAUGGUAGUCUUGGGUUAUAUAAG